ACAGUGACACUUAAAGACAGGAGUAGCAGUAGUACUGGGAUAUAGAAAUCCAACAUACAAACUCAGUAACUCUGAGUAAAAUCAGAAUAAGAGGUUUACUGGAUGCUUACAAUGGUUAUAUUCGGUCUGUUUCAAGGCAUUUUUGUGUGUAAAACUUUUUUAUUUUUAAUAAUUACUAUGUUUCUUAUGUGCAGUUUUUAGUACACAUACCCAGUGAAAAUUAUAUGUAAAUUAAUGUUUGGAAGUUCAAUGAUCACUGUAUAAAGCCUUUGCAAGACUGAAAAGACUCAAGAUGCAUGUCUGAAGAUGCAUUGCCCACUGCCUUACUCUGUCCAUUGUAUAUACACAUGUGCAUAUAUUACCUAAUAGCUGUUGCAAAAGAUGACAUCCCUAAAUAGCUCCUGCAUUGUUAAAAAUUAAUAAACUUUUGUUUUUCUCUUUCUGUUCUGCAGAUUGCUUCCAUAUGUGCAGCUAUUUAUGUACACUUAAUGCUAGUAUGGUGUUGAUCCAACUCUGCGUCAGGCUUGCUUUUCAGACUGACGGAAAAUCCAUCCAGCAGAAAUUUAUGAGAACAUCGUCUGAUACUUGGUUGGUGACUUGAAAAGCUAUACCUACAUGUAUAAGAUCCUUCUCACGAGCUGUCUUUGCACUUCUGAGGGCUUGGUGUCCACUGUUCAUAAGAAGGUUAAAAUUAUUGUAUUACACAUUUUCUUAUUUAUUUUUGUUUCCAAUAAGUAAAAAAUAGUGAGCUUCAGUUUUAUAUAAAGGUAUAUUAAAGAUUUUUUAUUAUUUUCUCACUGGUUUGUUGUUUGGUUUUUUUUUUUUUUUCAUUUUCAUUAAUCAUUUUUUAUUAUUUUCUCACUAACAGAAUAUUAGCAGAUAGAAGCUACUCCAGUUACAUGUAGACAAAAAGAUUUUCAGGCUGCUUUGGAAACUCUGCUUUAGAAAUAUUUCUUCACGUAAUUUUAAAAACAUUUUUAUUGUUUAUAAGUUAGGACUUCUUCUGUCUGCUGGAGUUCAACAGGAAGCUUGAAUACAUACCUAGCUUCCAGCUUUAUAGCACCUCCAUUCACUUCACUAGGAUGUGUCAUAGCCCAAAUUUGUAACAUGGAUCAAAACUUAGCUUGGGGACAGAAAGUAGAAAGUGGGAUUAAAUAGCCAAUUUUCAGUCUUAUCAAAAGGUUAAUAGUAGAGGCCUCAAGGCUCAAGAGUAGGUGUCAUGAUGCUUAAUGAUCUGGAAAGAGGAUGAGUAGUGAGAAGCAACAUUUGCAGAUGGCAGAAAGAUGCAUAGGAUGGUCAAGUCCAUGCUGUACUGUCAGUCUCAUCAGAGGGACCUAGAGAAGCUAGAUGGAUGGGCAAAGUGACAAAAACAAACAAACAACAGAAACACACACACAGAAGAAAAAACAAUGCUUUUUGUAUUGAAUAUUGAUUCAUGGAAACUAUCUUUGAAGGAAGAAAAAGACCUGCAUGAAUAUUUAGCAAGAUUCAAAAUUCAUUAUCGUAUCAUCAACACAAUUAAGCAAAUUAUCUAACCACUAUUGUAAAAUUUUAAUGUGAGAAGAGGCCUGAUGUAUAAAUACACUUAGAAAAACAAAAAU
rnacentral:lncRNA from 1 species